UACGUAGGGUGCGAGCGUUAAUCGGAAUUACUGGGCGUAAAGCGUGCGCAGGCGGUUUUGUAAGCCAGAUGUGAAAUCCCCGGGCUCAACCCGGGAAUGGCAUUUGGGACUGCAAGGCUGGAGUGCGGCAGAGGAGACUGGAAUUCCUGGUGUAGCAGUGAAAUGCGUAGAUAUCAGGAGGAAUACCGAUGGCGAAGGCAGGUCUCUGGGCUGACACUGACGCUGAGGAGCGAAAGCGUGGGGAGCGAACAGG
rnacentral:rRNA from 1 species